AGAGUUUGAUCAUGGCUCAGGAUGAACGCUAGCUACAGGCUUAACACAUGCAAGUCGAGGGGCAGCAUGUUGGUUGCUUGCAACCAAUGAUGGCGACCGGCGCACGGGUGAGUAACGCGUAUCCAACCUACCCUUGUCCAUCGGAUAACCCGUCGAAAGGCGGCCUAACACGAUAUGCGGUUCUCAGCAGGCAUCUAACGAGAACGAAAUGUGAAGGAGAAGGAUGGGGAUGCGUCUGAUUAGCUUGUUGGCGGGUAACGCCACAGGCGACGAUCAGUAGGGGUUCUGAGAGGAGGUCCCCCANAUUGGAACUGAGACACGGUCCAAACUCCUACGGGAGCA
rnacentral:rRNA from 1 species